GAUGAACGCUGGCGGUAUGCUUAACACAUGCAAGUCGAACGGACUCUUCGGAGUUAGUGGCGGACGGGUGAGUAACGCGUGAGAAUCUGGCUUUGGGUUCGGGACAACCACUGGAAACGGUGGCUAAUACCGGAUGUGCCGAGAGGUAAAAGAGAAAUUGCCUGAAGAUGAGCUCGCGUCUGAUUAGCUAGUUGGUGAGGUAAAGGCUCACCAAGGCAGCGAUCAGUAGCUGGUCUGAGAGGAUGACCAGCCACACUGGGACUGAGACACGGCCCAGACUCCUACGGGAGGCAGCAGUGGGGAAUUUUCCGCAAUGGGCGAAAGCCUGACGGAGCAAUACCGCGUGAGGGAAGAAGGCUCUUGGGUUGUAAACCUCUUUUCUUAGGGAAGAACAAAAUGACGGUACCUAAGGAAUCAGCAUCGGCUAGCUCCGUG
rnacentral:rRNA from 1 species